CUAGUGUGUGGCGAAACAAAAUUAAAAAGGAACAUAGUUCCAAUAAAGGGAACCCAGGGACCAUAUUCUUCUCCAAUCUGAGUUUUGCUCAAGUCUCGAAUAAACUCAAGGACCAUGACCAGGAUGAAGCUUGGAUGAAACUAAGCAGAGAUCAACCGACUGAUGUUGAAGAAUCAGCGGAUGAGUUGUGGUUAGGGGUGAAAUGCCACUCGAACCUAGAGCUAGCUGGUUCUCCCCGAAAUGCAUUGAGGCGCAGCAGUUGACUGGACAUCUAGGGGUAAAGCACUGUUUCGGCGCGGGCUGCGCGAGCAGUACCAAAUCGAGGCGAAGUCUGAAUACUAGAUAUGACCCAAAAAUAACAGGGGUCAAGGUCGGCCAGUGAGACRAUGGGGGAUAAGCUUCAUCGUCGAGAGGGAAACAGCCUGGAUCACCAGCUAAGGUAAACCUUUUGUCUUAUAAGGGGUGUGUUUGGGGAGGGUUUCUUAGCCCUUUCUUUGUACAUUACUUUCUCUCUUCUUAAUG
rnacentral:ncRNA from 1 species